rnacentral:rRNA from 1 species
GAUAAACGCUGGCGGCGUGCAUAACACAUGCAAGUCGAACGAAGUGACGAACGGGUGAGUAACACGUGAGUAACCUGCCUUACACAAGGGGAUAGCCUUUGGAAACGAAGAAUAAUACCCACUAGUGUAAGAUGGACUUGCGUCUGAUUAGCUAGUUGGUGAGAUAAAAGCCCAGCAAGGCGACGAUCAGUAGCCGGCUUGAGAGAGUGUACGGACACAUUGGGACUGUGACACGGCGCAAACUCUACGGGAGGCAGCAGUGGGGAAGUUUGCACAAUGGGGGAAACCCUGAGGCAGCGACGCCGCGUGAUUUAGAAGGCCUGCGGGUUGUAAAAAUCUUUUUUAUGGGAAGCAGUACCAUAAGAAUAAGGUCCGGCUAAAUACGUGCCAGCAGCCGCGGUAAUAC